rnacentral:rRNA from 1 species
UAUGACCUUAAUGCUGCCCUGGUUGUGCUCCAUCUCAUCUGAUCUCGGAGGCUAAGCGCGGUCAGGCCUGGUUAGUAUUUAGAUGGGGGACCACCUUGGAAUACCAGGUGCUGUGGCUAUAC